GACGAACGCUGGCGGCGUGCUUAACACAUGCAAGUCGAACGGAAAGGCACUGCUUUUGUGGGGUGCUCGAGUGGCGAACGGGUGAGUAACACGUGAGUAACCUGCCCUUGACUUUGGGAUAACUUCAGGAAACUGGGGCUAAUACCGGAUAGGAGCUCCUGCUGCAUGGUGGGGGUUGGAAAGUUUCGGCGGUUGGGGAUGGACUCGCGGCUUAUCAGCUUGUUGGUGGGGUAGUGGCUUACCAAGGCUUUGACGGGUAGCCGGCCUGAGAGGGUGACCGGCCACAAUGGGACUGAGAUACGGCCCAGACUCCUACGGGAGGCAGCAGUGGGGAAUAUUGCACAAUGGGCGGAAGCCUGAUGCAGCAACGCCGCGUGCGGGAUGACGGCCUUCGGGUUGUAAACCGCUUUCGCCUGUGACGAAGCGUUAGUGACGGUAAUGGGUAAAGAAGCACCGGCUAACUACGUG
rnacentral:rRNA from 1 species